GCAAGGGCUCGCAUUGAGA
rnacentral:snRNA from 1 species